rnacentral:rRNA from 1 species
GAAGGGGGCUAGCGUUGUUCGGAUUUACUGGGCGUAAAGCGCACGUAGGCGGAUGGGUAAGUCAGGGGUGAGAUCCCAGAGCUCAACUCUGGAACUGCCUUUGAUACUGGCCAUCUUGAGUCCGGAAGAGGUGAGUGGAACUCCUAGUGUAGAGGUGGAAUUCGUAGAUAUUAGGAAGAACACCAGUGGCGAAGGCGGCUCACUGGUCCGGAACUGACGCUGAGGUGCGAAAGCGUGGGGAGCAAACAGG